CAGCCCAGCGUGGCGGCUGACCCCAGGCAGCGGGGUGGGGCCCCCGGAUGCCAUCCUGGGGCCCCGCUCGUGAGGUCACAAUGGCCCUUCCAACAGUACCCAGGGGCCCCCCUGGCAGGGACAGACAACUCCUCAGUCGCUAGACCCCAGCUGGCCGCCAUCUCAGAGGUUGGCCAGGCCUGGAGUAGUCAGCCCAGCUCAUGGCCAUUGUCAGAGAGAAGUAAAUGGCCUAAGAACACAGCAGAGAGCCUGGGUCGUGAGAGCCCACUGCAGCACGUGGCCCGUGGGGAGCUGAAGUGUGUGCAGAAGUCUCCAGCUCCUGCUCCUGCUCGGUGCCCCUUGAGGUCUGUCCCCAGACAGAAAGGGAAGCCACAUCCACGGGGCCAUCUCUGCACCUAGGCUGGGGUCUCCCAUGGGUGGGGGGGGUCAGGCUGUGUGGCAGUGCAGAAAUGGCACCUGUGUUCCACCCCCUGAGCAGCCUGAGGAACCUGGACCCCAGAGUCCAGGGCGGUGAGGAGCCAGGACCUGGAGCCACAAAAGGCACCUGCUGGCCCAGGCCCACCCAGCUCAGGGCUUGAGCCCAUUUCCUCUCCCUCCAGGGCCUGGAAGUUCUGCUCCUCAGACCCAAAGUGGGUCCCCAGGGAGGGGGUGCUGGCUGGAGCCACGUCUGGGGGCUCCACGCCGGACAGGGCCCACAGCACCAGCUCCACCAGGCUGUGAGCCGCCCUCAGACGCUCUGACUCAAGCUGUGGAUGGUGUUUGACCACAGGUGAAAACAGAAAGAAAAAGCCAGAUAGAGGCUCACAGCACAGCCUUUACUAACAGCUGCAGGCGGCCAGGCUCCCACCGCCAGGGGACUAAUUAAUGCCAAACGAUGAACUCAAACACAUCAGCGCUGAUCACAACAGAGAGAGGGAGAGGAACAGGGAGAAAGAGAGAAAGAGAAGGGAAGAGAGAGAGAGAUGGAGAGUGAGAGGAAGGGAAAAAGAGGGAGAGAGACUGAACACUUGCUCAGAGAAGAUCAGCCACCCACACGGACGGAACCCCCAUACACAAAUGGGACCCUCCAUAUGGACAAAAACCUAACAUAUAACCCAGGACCCCACACACGGCCCAGGACCCCAGUGGGCAGAGAGCUGGGUGACCCACAGCCUCAGGCACUGAGGCCUCUGGGAUGUUUCAUUUCCUGUUCACAUCUUUGCUGCCCCCCCCUGAAAAUAAAUCUUGAAAAACUAGAAACCAGCCAGCACUGGGGUAACCCCAGGGUGUGGCAGGGAGCUGUGGGGGGGGGUCUCUGCCUCCACAAGGUAAGAAGGGAGGAAGGGUUGGCAGGAGCUGAGCCAGGAAGCCAGGACUGGGAUGGGGACAGGACAGGGAAGGGGAUGGGGGGACAGGGGUUAGGGAGAUGGGGGCUACCUACAGGGGCUACGGGGGUGGGGACAGGGACAGGGGUUAGGGGGAUGGAGACAGAGAUGGGGGACAGAGAUGGGGGACAGGGAUAGGGAUGGGGGGGCAGAGACAGGGAGAUGACAACCAGAGAGCAUUUACUGAGAGGAGAAGAGAGGCCCUGCUCCUGUGGGCACUUGCCCUAGGCCCUGGGUUCCAGCCCCGGCAUGAGCAGGAACUGAUGGGGCUUUGGCUGCAUCAAUUGGAGAAGAGGAAGAGGAACCAGUGAGAAAAAGUAAAGACCUUGCCCAAUACCAGGGGGCCAGUGUCAUGUGCCAUAGCCUGCGUCAAGCUGCACCUCAAGCCUGCAGCCCAGGCUCCCCCCCAGCCUAG